rnacentral:rRNA from 1 species
AGACAAUAGAUACCCUGGUAGUCCAUGCCGUAAACGUUGGGCACUAGGUGUGGGGACGAUUCCACGUUUUCCGUCGCCGUAGCUAAACGCAUUAAGUGCCCGCCUGGGGAGUACGGCCGCAAGGCUAAAACUACAAAGGAAUUGACGGGGGCCCGGCACAAGCGGCGGAGCAUGCGGAUUAAAUUCGAUGCAACGCGAAGAACCUUACCAAGGCUUGACAUGAACCAGACCGGGCUGGAAACAGUCCUUCCCUUGUGGGUUGGUUUACAGGUGGUGCAUGGUUGUCGUCAGCUCGUGUCGUGAGAUGUUGGGUUAAGUCCCGCGACGAGCGCAACCCUCGUUCUAUGUUGCCAGCACGUGAUGGUGGGGACUCAUAGGAGACUGCCGGGGUCAACUCGGAGGAAGGUGGGGACGACGUCAAAUCAUCAUGCCCCUUAUGUCUUGGGCUUCACGCAUGCUACAAUGGCCGGUACAAAGGGUUGCGAUACUGUGAGGUGGAGCUAAUCCCAAAAAGCCGGUCUCAGUUCGGAUUGGGGUCUGCAACUCGACCCC